rnacentral:rRNA from 1 species
AGCAGCCGCGGUAAUUCCAGCUCCAAUAGCGUAUAUUAAAGUUGUUGUGGUUAAAAAGCUCGUAGUUGAACCUUGGGCCUGGCUGGCCGGUCCGCCUCACCGCGUGUACUGGUCCGGCCGGGCCUUUCCCUCUGUGGAACCCCAUGCCCUUCACUGGGUGUGGCGGGGAAACAGGACUUUUACUGUGAAAAAAUUAGAGUGCUCCAGGCAGGCCUAUGCUCGAAUACAUUAGCAUGGAAUAAUAGAAUAGGACGUGUGGUUCUAUCUUGUUGGUUUCUAGGACCGCCGUAAUGAUUAAUAGGGACAGUCGGGGGCAUCAGUAUUCAAUCGUCAGAGGUGAAAUUCUUGGAUUUAUUGAAGACUAACUACUGCGAAAGCAUUUGCCAAGGAUGUUUUCAUUAAUCAGGAACGAAAGUUAGGGGAUCGAAGACGAUCAGAUACCGUCGUAGUCUUAACCAUAAACUAUGCCGACUAGGGAUCGGACGGUGUUAUUUUU